CUCUGGAGGCUAGGCUUAUGAAACCCCUGAGUAAACUGCACGCUCCCUAUCUUGCGCGUGGAAAAAUUACCAAAACCCACAAUUAAAGCUCCCUGUCAUAACCCAAACCUAUUACCUCAACUCGACGUUGCCUUCACCUCCCAAAAAUUCUAUCAUCAACAGGCGCUUGCAUAACACGCAAAAUAAACCGAGCGUCGGUAAAACACUCUACACAUCCGUAUGAUUCUUCCCGAGCACUGCACUUUUGAUGCACCCACACGCUUCUUUCCAGUGCUUAUUUCCACGAGGUCAUUCACCACCGUACACCUGUAAAGAUAAGAUACAGGUAAAAAAAAUUGAGAGGGAAAAACAAUCGAAAGAACUUUUUAGAGAGAGAAAGCGAGCGGCGUUGAGAGAGGAGGAUUCGUGAGGAGAUCUGAAAUCGAACAAGCAAAGGUGAGGAGCUGAGAAAUCUGCCUUUCUUGUUUCAAUUUUGUGUGUGUUAUCUUUAAAUUCCGUUUUAGGGUUUUACAUAGAUGGUUGUAGUUGUAAUUUUGUAGAUCGAGGCUUGGGUUUUUCUUCUGUAGGUUUGUUGUGUUUUUUUGGGUCCGUUGGUUGAAACUUGGGGGAACUCUCAAGUUUGAGAGGUCAAAUUUAGGGUUUUUGGUGCAGAGGUAGUUAAACCCUAUUUUGGAUUUGGUCGCGGGUGCAUAAUUGUUUUGGUUGGAGACUGGAAAAAAAAGGACUUAGGGUUUAAAACCCUGAUAUAUGUGUAUGGCUUCGGGGAUAGUAGUUGGAGAAGGAAAAGAUGCUGAGAGAGAGAAACAGAGAUACAGUGGGAGCAAGGUUUAUACCAGGAAAGCGUUCAAGGGUUCCAAGAAAAACAAUCUUCUUAACUCCACUGUUAACAGUAGCGACCCCAACCACCACCACCACCACCACCACCACGACACCACCACCACCACCACCUCCGACAACAACCACGACAACAACAAAAAUGACAACAACGUGGAUAGGGCUGCUUUGAACGACACUGAUGUCACCACAACAGCUGUCCCUAACACCAACGACUACAGCAACCACCCUGUUGAAAUACCUGCUCAGCCUCUUCCUUUGGAGUUUGGGGAUUCAGCUCACCAACAGCCUGGUCCUCGUGCGGAUACUGCUGUGUCUGAUGACUGUUCAAGCCUUAAUAAGCAGGUGGAUGUUGCCGGAGCAUUGAAGCCUAGUUCCGAGAACCAGGUGAAGAUCAAUUUGGCUUCAAGGUCAAAGCAGGAGAUGGCGGAACUGAGGAGGAAGUUGGUAAGUGAGCUUGAUUUGGUAAGGAGUUUGGUGAAGAGGAUUGAAGCUAAAGAAGUGCAAAUAAGGGUGUUUAGUAAUGCCUCUGUUCCUUUGAAUAAUGCUGUUGGUUAUGGUUUCAAUAGGGUUCAACCAGAGCCAUCCUCGGUAGGCAUCUCUCAGGAACCUGUUAAGAAAUCAAGGCCUUUGAAUCAGUUGAAUAUUUCUGCCUUGGAAAAUAGUCAAUGUGCAAAUGAAAAUUUGGAGAAGGAGAAAAGGACGCCUAAGGCAAAUCAGUUUUAUCAUAAUUCUGAGUUUUUGCUUGCAAAAGAUAAGUUUCCUCCAGCUGAGAGUAACAAGAAGUUGAAAUUAAACGGGAAGAAGCAAGGUGGAGGUCAAUUCACACAUGGGUUUGGCAUGGGUAAUAAGUUAUUUAAGAACUGUAGUUCUUUGCUUGAAAGACUAAUGAAGCACAAGCAUGGUUGGGUCUUUAAUUCUCCUGUUGAUGUCAAAGGUCUUGGUUUGCAUGAUUACUAUAGUGUCAUUAAGCAUCCCAUGGAUUUGGGCACUGUGAAAACGAGGCUUAGCAAAAACUGGUACAAGUCUCCUAGAGAGUUUGCAGAGGAUGUGAGAUUGACAUUUCAGAAUGCCAUGACAUAUAAUCCUAAGGGACAAGAUGUUCAUGUAAUGGCAGAGCAGUUAUCAAAGAUAUUUGAGGGAAAAUGGGCUUCUAUAGAGGCAGAUUAUAUUCGAGAUAUGAGACUUGCAGUAGAAUAUGAAGUGAAUUUACGUAUGCCAACACCAAGAAAGGCACAUUCAAUGCUACCACCUCCACUUGAUACAAGAAGGAUCUUGGGUAGAUCAGAGUCAAUGGCACGCUCUGUUGAUCCAAGACCAAAACUAAUUGCUACUACUCCUUCGGGUAGGACUCCUGCUCCAAAAAAGCCUAAAGCGAAGGAUCCUUACAAGAGGGAUAUGACUUAUGAAGAGAAGCAGAAGCUUAGCACUAACCUUCAAAGUUUGCCUUCAGAGAAGCUGGACAACAUUGUACAGAUUAUUAAGAAAAGGAAUUCAGCUGUCGAACAACAUGACGAAGAAAUAGAAGUAGACAUUGACAGUGUGGAUACUGAGACUCUUUGGGAGCUGGAUAGAUUUGUUACCAACUACAAGAAAAGUUUGAGCAAAAACAAGAGAAAGGCUGAACUUUCCAUUCAAGCCAGAGCAGAAGCUGCUCAGAUUGUACCUGAGAAAGUACAGUUGCAGACUAUGGCUCCUGUUUUGGUGGAAGUGCCCAAGCAAAACACAACUAAUGAACAGAAUAUUUCCAGAUCACUUGUUGAAGAAGAAAAACAGGGAGAUGCUGCUAAUAGGUCGAGUAGUUCAAGUAGUUCUAGCAGUGAUUCUGGGUCUUCUUCAAGUGACUCUGAUAGUGAAAGUUCCUCGGCCUCUGGAUCUGAUGCUGGACAUUCACCUAGAGCUUGAGUGUUUCUCAUUCAGUUGUGGGCUUGAGACCCUGAGUCAACUCCUCAACGAGAUUUCAACUUGUAGGUCGUAGAUGCAUAUGCUGAGAGGGGAGAGUGAGUUUCCACGUUUAUUUAAUAAACUCCCUUUCUAUUUGAAAUCAGUGGACUGCAACGUGUAAGGAAAAAGAAAAAAAAUCUGCAGACCUUACAUGUCUUGGCGAAUUAAUAUCCUUUUUUGCAGAUUGGCUUCGACGAGUUUGAUGUAGCAUUUGGCUAUAUAGUGAAAAUGCUGUUGUUGGAAUUGGGAACAAGGCUUCAGGAGCACUUGACAAUUUGUGGAGUAUCUGUAUAAUUAUAAUUAGGAUGGGUAGAAUGUGGCGUUGAAUGGGUAGGGAUCAGGAAUAGGAAAAACCGGAAGCACGUGUGUAAAUUGCUAAUUUAACUAGUGCUACUCAACUCACCCUAGUUUCAGGGCACUUUGUUUUAUUGUGUUUAAGCUUUCUGAUGGGCAGAAGAUUCUUUGAUUUGAUGUUUUUAUACAGCAAGAAAGAAACAAGGCAUUGUAAUUCAAAAGUAGUAAGUAUGCUUCAAAUGAAAAUCAAUAAUUAUGAUUUGACGUUGCCCUUA